rnacentral:rRNA from 1 species
CCUACGGGUGGCAGCAGUGGGGGAUAUUGCACAAUGGGGGGAACCCUGAUGCAGCGACGCCGCGUGGGUGAAGGAGCGUUUCGGCGCGUAAAGCCCUAUCGGCAGGGAAGAAGGAGGACGGUACCUGACUAAGAAGCCCCGGCUAACUACGUGCCAGCAGCCGCGGUAAUACGUAGGGGUCAAGCGUUAUCCGGAUGUAUGGGGGUUAACGGGGGUGCUGGCGGCAGUGCAAGCCAGCAGUGAAAUCUCGGUGCCCAACACCAGGAGUGCUCGUGAAACCGCGGAGCUGGAGGGGAGGAGGGGCAGGCGGAAUGCAUGGUGUAGCGGUGAAAUGAGUAGAGAGCAGGAGGAACACAGGUGGCGAAGGCGGCCUGCUGAACUACGACUGACGUUGAGGCCCGAAAGCGUGGGGAGCAAACAGGAUUAGAUACCCUUGGAGUC